UACGAGAGGCCCAAACGUUAUUCGGAUUUACUGGGCUUAAAGAGUUCGUAGGCGGUCCAUCAAGUGGGGUGUGAAAUCCCUCGGCUCAACCGAGGAAUUGCGCUCCAAACUGUUGGGCUCGAGGGAGAUAGAGGUGAGCGGAACUGAUGGUGGAGCGGUGAAAUGCGUUGAUAUCAUCAGGAACACCAGAGGCGAAGGCGGCUUACUGGGUCUCUUCUGACGCUGAGGAACGAAAGCUAGGGGAGCAAACGGG
rnacentral:rRNA from 1 species